GAUCCAUUUCUUAUGUGGGUGUGUGAAUUUUGACCAAUCAGAUCGCUGCAUUAUCGCGUCAUUUGCAUCUGCGCUGAGGUCGGACAUCAGUCGGACAAAAUGGCGCUGUGUUUACGGAGAUGCUACAGAAAAGUUCUUUAUAAUCCGUUGUUUUUUAAAAGUUGAUUAUUUGGUACUUUGCCAUGGUGAAGCACUGUUCGCUUGGGACGUGUAAAUCCGAUAGCAGGUACCCAGAUAAGCUGAUGGGAGCAAAAUUCAUUCCAUUUCCCAAGCCGAAAUCUGAUUUACAAAAAUGCCUGCGAUGGUUUUCCUUGUGAAGACGACCUCACGAUCAGCUCAACGUAGACAAAAUUACGAAACAUACGUAUAUAUGUUCAAAGCAUUUCAUUUCAAUAGAUGGCCCAUCUGAUGACUAUCCAGAUCCAUGUGAUGCACAAACUGGUGAACUAAGGAGAUCAUGACGGAAAAUAGUAUACAUGUCUCAUCAGUCCAAUGAGUUGACAGACUUUUCUACCAGCAGUGACAGUUUAGAACCUUUAGAACACAGAGAUUCUGUCUUAGAUUGUGAUGUUGCCU